CACUUCCAGAAUAUAUGAUAUGGCCAGUUUCAUCCGCAAAACAUACUGUGUUAACAUCAGACUGAUGGGCAUGGAUUCGGAGGCUAUUCUUAUUUGCCUCAAGAUCAUAAACAUAUAUUGCAUUAUCACUACUUCCAGCUACAAGUUCUCGCCCAUCUGUUGAAAAUUUCACAGAGAAGAUCCCAAACUCAUACUCAUCAUCAUCAUCUUCUUCAUUCCAAGAAAAAU
rnacentral:misc_RNA from 1 species